UGAAGAACGUAGCGAACUGCGAUAAGUAAUGUGAAUUGCAGAAUUCAGUGAAUCAUCGAGUCUUUGAACGCACAUUGCGCCCCCUGGCAUUCCGGGGGGCAUGCCUGUCCGAGCGUCAUUGCUGCCCUUCAAGCCCGGCUUGUGUGUUGGGUCGUCGUCCCCCCCGGGGGACGGGCCCGAAAGGCAGCGGCGGCACCGCGUCCGGUCCUCGAGCGUAUGGGGCUUUGUCACCCGCUCGAUUAGGGCCGGCCGGGCGCCAGCCGGCGUCUCCAACCUUCUAUUUUACCAGGUUGACCUCGGAUCAGGUAGGGAUACCCGCUGAACUUAAGCAUAUCAAUAAGCGGAGGA
rnacentral:misc_RNA from 1 species